GAUGAACGCUGGCGGCGUGCCUAAUACAUGCAAGUCGAGCGAACGGACGAGAAGCUUGCUUUUCUGAUGUUAGCGGCGGACGGGUGAGUAACACGUGGAUAACCUACCUAUAAGACUGGGAUAACUUCGGGAAACCGGAGCUAAUACCGGAUAAUAUUUUAACCCGCAUGGUUAAAAGGUAAAGACCGUUCUUCCUUUACUUUUUGAAUGAAUCCGCGCUGCUUUAGCUAGUUGGUAAGGUAACGGCUUACCAAGGAAACGAUGCAUAGCCGACCUGAGAGGGUGAUCGGCCACACUGGAACUGAGACACGGUCCAGACUCCUACGGGAGGCAGCAGUAGGGAAUCUUCCGCAAUGGGCGAAAGCCUGACGGAGCAACGCCGCGUGAGUGAUGAAGGUCUUCGGAUCGUAAAACUCUGUUAUUAGGGAAGAACAUAUGUGUAAGUAACUGUGCACAUCUUGACGGUACCUAAUCAGAAAGCCACGGCUAACUACGUG
rnacentral:rRNA from 1 species